rnacentral:rRNA from 1 species
UACGAAGGGGGCUAGCGUUGCUCGGAAUCACUGGGCGUAAAGCGCACGUAGGCGGCUUUUUAAGUCAGGGGUGAAAUCCUGGAGCUCAACUCCGGAACUGCCUUUGAUACUGAGAAGCUUGAGUCCGGGAGAGGUGAGUGGAACUGCGAGUGUAGAGGUGAAAUUCGUAGAUAUUCGCAAGAACACCAGUGGCGAAGGCGGCUCACUGGCCCGGUACUGACGCUGAGGUGCGAAAGCGUGGGGAGCAAACAGG